rnacentral:lncRNA from 1 species
UAUUGGCAGGCUGCUCUUACAGAAACUGGAAAUCAUUCCUGUUCUAACAUGAGAAAGAUUUCUGUUUAAGGGAAGGAUUAUACUACUAAAACUCCAAACAACUCAAACACCAUGAAACAAGCUUUAAUGAUUCACUGUGCUGUCCAGUGCUGGGGAAAAAAAAAAAAAAAAAAAAAGAGAGAGAGAGAGAGAGACAGAGAGCGAGAGAGAGAGAGAGAGAGAAGUGGAAGACAGAAGGAAAAAAGAAGAAGAAAAAGAAGAGAAAAGAGGAAAAAGGAAAAGAAAAAAGAAAAAGAGGAAGAUGAAGAGAAAGAAAGAGGAAGAGGAAGAGAAAAAAGGAAAAGGAAAAGGAAGAGGAAGAGAAAAAAGGAAAAGGAAAAGGAAAAGGAAAAGGAAAAGGAAAAGGAAAAGAAGAAAAAAGACAAGGCAAAGAAAGGAAUCCUGUGUAUCUCACCUCUCUCCACAUGCCCGUGCAAGGCUGAACAUUGUCCAGGCUUCCUCCAAUCUCAAUGGCAACAGGCACCACAGAGCAAAAUUUUGAUAUCCAGCUUCUCUAUAAACAACACCCUUCAGCUUCCUAUGGAACACUAUGAAACAGAAAGAAGAGGAAAAUUUACUUUCAUGCGGGCAAGAGAUGACAUUUACAUAGACCAAAUGGAUGAAAGUGAAUUUGUGCUGUUCUCUUUGAGCAUUUUCUGAGGGUUGAGUUUGUUUAUCUGACUGUGUAUAUGCAAAAUUUCCUGCCAUACAUUAGUAGACAUGCCACUGUAUGCAGCUUUGUGGAGUGUUAAGUUUAAAUCCAAUUGUGAGAAAGAUAGAGAGAAUGAAAAGGAAAAAUUCAUUCUAAUAACUGUGCAGAAAAUUUGCAGCUGACUUGCACAAAACUAUAUAAAAAAUGAAAUCAUGGGAAGUAGUUUUUACUUCAGCACUUUGUGUACUUCUGCUUUUACUUCUUCAGAACCCUGUGAGGAAGUCAACAUGCACCAACAUUUAAUAAACAGUUUGUGAACUAUUAACAUUUAAUUUAAG